rnacentral:rRNA from 1 species
AUUUGUCUGGUUAAUUCCGAUAACGAACGAGACCUUAACCUGCUAACUAGAUCUUAUUAUCCAAUAAUUUGUAUCUUCUUAGAGGGACUAUGUAAUCUAAAUACAUGGAAGUUUGAGGCAAUAACAGGUCAGUGAUGCCCUUAUAUGUCCUGGGCUGCACGCGUGCUACACUGAUGCAUACAACAAGUGCCUAACCAGACAUGGUAUGGCAAUCUCGAAUAUGCAUCGUGAUGGGGAUAGAUCUUUGCAAUUAUAGAUCUUGAACGAGGAAUUCCUAGUAAGUGCAAGUCAUCAUCUUGCAUUGAUUAUGUCCCUGCCCUUUGUACACACCGCCCGUCGCUCCUACCGAUACCGGGUGAUCCGGUGAACCUUUUGGACUCUUUAUGGGAAAGAUAAGUAAACCAUAUCACCUAGAGGAAGGAGAAGUCGUAACAAGGUUUCCGUAGGUGAACCUGCRGAAGGAUCA